ACCUAAAAUGGCUUGAUUUACUUCUCUCAAAAUGGUUAGUUUUUAAGACAGGUGAUAUCUGUGAGUGCAAUGGCUGUUAUGGAAUGAAGGUGGUGCUCUGCUAGCAACAUUCUGAAAAAGAGGUUCAUCUCUAGUCGUGGUACACUGCAUCUGAAAAGGGAGCUGUUUUUUCCUGUAAAUGAGGCACUUUGACAUAAGCACACUUUUGCACUGUAAAGUGGAAGAGGAUUUGAUGUCAAUGUCUUUCAGGUUUUGGGGUAUAUGUGAAGAACAGAAGAACAUGCAGGAUUGUUUCACAGUCUACUCAACAUGAAGACAAGGAUGAAGACCUUUCUGAAGAUCCACUUCCACUUAAUGAAGAGUAGAUAUAUUUUCUCUUUCUUGUGAUUUUCUUCGCAACAUUUUCUUUUUCUUUAAGAAUGCAGUAUAAUACACAUAUACACAAAAAAUGUGUUCAUUACUGUUCAUUUUUACCAUAAGGCUUUUGAUCAACAGUAGGUUAUUGUUGGUUAAGUUUUUGGGGAGUCAAAAGUCAAACAUGAAUUUUCAACUGUAGGAGGAGGUUUGCAUCCCUAACCUUUGUGUUAUUUAAGAAUCAACUGCAGGGAAGCUGAGGCAGGUGGAUCACGAGGUCAAGACAUCGAGACCAUCCUGGUCAAUGUGGUGAAACCCCGUCUCUACUCAAAAUACAAAAAAUUAGCUGGGCAUGGUGGCGCGUGCCUGUAAUCCCAGCUACUCAGGAGGCUGAGGCAGGAAACCUGCCUGAACCCAGGAGGAGGAGGUUGCAGUGAGCCGAGAUCGCGCCAUUGCACUCCAGCCUUGGUAACAAGAGCGAAACUCCGUCUCAAAAAAAAAAAAAAAAAAAAAAAAGAA